AGAUGUGAGGGGAUCUGGCAAUCACUAGGGUCUAUUUGGCUGAUCUGGUUGGCUAGGCAGGUGUUCCUUCAUCCCACCAUUUCCUUGUUCAUCCCUCUUGAAGCUGCCUGCUUGGUUGAUGAGGAUGACUUCCCCCAAAUGAGGAGUACUGCUUCCUUGGUCAAAGCUAUAUGAUUAGCUUUGUUCUCCUGCUAGAACCUCCAAAUAAGCUCUCAAGGCCAGAUGAUAUGUUUGACGGAUGGCAUCUGAAACUUCGUAUGU
rfam:Fukomys damarensis contig130732, whole genome shotgun sequence.